rnacentral:rRNA from 1 species
CGGAUUGCAGGCUGNAACCCGCCUGCAUGAAGCCGGAAUCGCUAGUAAUCGCGGAUCAGAAUGCCGCGGUGAAUACGUUCCCGGGUCUUGUACACACCGCCCGUCACACCAUGGGAGUCGGGAAUGCCCGAAGUCAGUGGCCCAACCGGAAGGGGGGAGCUGCCGAAGGCAGGCCCGGUGACUGGGGUGAAGUCGUAACAAGGUAAC